GACGAACGCUGGCGGCGUGCUUACACAUGCAAGUCGAACGAGGACUAGAGAGCUUGCUCUCUAUAGCCGAGUGGCGAACGGGUGAGUAACACGUGACCAACCUAUCUUUAGGUGAGGGACAACCUGGGGAAACCCGGGCUAAUACCGCAUGAUAUCUCUUUUUCUCAUGUGAAAGAGAUCAAAGGGGGCCUCUGCUUGCACGCUCCUGCCUAGAGAGGGGGUCGCGUCGUAUCAGCUUGUUGGUGAGGUAACGGCUCACCAAGGCUAUGACGCGUAGCGGGUCUGAGAGGACGAUCNGUCACAUUGGGACUGAGAGACGGCCCAGACUCCUACGGGAGG
rnacentral:rRNA from 1 species